AGCUUGAUGGUGAGGUAAAAGCUCACCAAGGCGACGAUCUGUAGCGGGUCUGAGAGGAUGAUCCGCCACACUGGAACUGAGACACGGUCCAGACUCCUACGGGAGGCAGCAGUGGGGAAUUUUGGACAAUGGGGGCAACCCUGAUCCAGCCAUGCCGCGUGAGUGAAGAAGGCCUUCGGGUUGUAAAGCUCUUUCAGCCGGGAAGAAAACGCAUGGGUUAAUACCCUGUGUGGAUGACGGUACCGGAAUAAGAAGCACCGGCUAACUACGUGCCAGCAGCCGCGGUAAUACGUAGGGUGCGAGCGUUAAUCGGAAUUACUGGGCGUAAAGCGUGCGCAGGCGGUUUUGUAAGACAGGCGUGAAAUCCCCGGGCUUAACCUGGGAACUGCGUUUGUGACUGCAAGGCUAGAGUACGGCAGAGGGGGGUGGAAUUCCACGUGUAGCAGUGAAAUGCGUAGAGAUGUGGAGGAACACCAAUGGCGAAGGCAGCCCCCUGGUUCGAUACUGACGCUCAUGCACGAAAGCGUGGGUAGCAAACAGGAUUAGAUACCCUGGUAGUCCACGCCCUAAACGAUGUCAACUAGGUGUUGGGAGGGUAAAACCUUUUAGUACCGGAGCUAACGCGUGAAGUUGACCGCCUGGGGAGUACGGCCGCAAGGUUAAAACUCAAAGGAAUUGACGGGGACCCGCACAAGCGGUGGAUGAUGUGGAUUAAUUCGAUGCAACGCGAAAAACCUUACCUACCCUUGACAUGCCAAGAACUUUCCAGAGAUGGAUUGGUGCCCGAAAGGGAACUUGGACACAGGUGCUGCAUGGCUGUCGUCAGCUCGUGUCGUGAGAUGUUGGGUUAAGUCCCGCAACGAGUGCAACCCUUGUCGUUAAUUGCCAUCAUUUAGUUGGGCACUUUAACGAGACUGCCGGUGACAAACCGGAGGAAGGUGGGGAUGACGUCAAGUCCUCAUGGCCCUUAUGGGUAGGGCUUCACACGUCAUACAAUGGUCGGUACAAAGGGUCGCCAAGCCGCGAGGUGGAGCCAAUCCCAGAAAGCCGAUCGUAGUCCGGAUCGCAGUCUGCAACUCGACUGCGUGAAGUCGGAAUCGCUAGUAAUCGUGGAUCAGAAUGUCACGGUGAAUACGUUCCCGGGUCUUGUACACACCGCCCGUCACACCAUGGGAGCGGGCUCCGCCAUAAGUAGGUAGCCUAACCGCAAGGAGGGCGCUUACCACGGCGGGGUUCGUGACUGGGGUGAAGUCGUAACAAGGUAGCCGUAGGGGAACCUGCGGCUG
rnacentral:rRNA from 1 species